rnacentral:rRNA from 1 species
GUGGGGAAUCUUGCGCAAUGGGCGAAAGCCUGACGCAGCCUUGCCGCGUGAAUGAUGAAGGUCUUAGGAUUGUAAAAUUCUUUCACCGGGGACGAUAAUGACGGUACCCGGAGAAGAAGCUCCGGCUAACUUCGUGCCAGCAGCCGCGGUAAUACGAAGGGGGCUAGCGUUGCUCGGAAUUACUGGGCGUAAAGGGCGCGUAGGCGGACAGCUUAGUCAGAGGUGAAAGCCCAGGGCUCAACCUUGGAAUUGCCUUUGAUACUGACUGUCUUGAGUUUGGGAGAGGUGAGUGGAACUCCGAGUGUAGAGGUGAAAUUCGUAGAUAUUCGGAAGAACACCAGUGGCGAAGGCGACUCACUGGCCCAAUACUGACGCUGAGGCGCGAAAGCGUGGGGAGCAAACAGGAUUAGAUACCCGGGUAGUCC